AGGCCAAAUCAACAUCAGCUGCUCUGAGACUUGAGGCGAAGGGCAAUGGAAAACCAAUUGCUUCUUCUUCCUUUGAUGCUAAUAAUUAAUAUGCCACUCAUAUUGUUAGUUUCAUCGUCUUCUGUGACUUCGAAGAUUAAACACUGUGGUGGCGUGUUGUCGGCGGUGGGAGACCCAGGGAUGAAAAGAGACGCACUGAGAGUUGCCAUCGAAGCUUGGAAUUUUUGCAAUGAAGUUGGCAAAGAAGCUCCCCGCAUGGGUAGCCCCAGAGCCGCCGAUUGUUUUGAUCUCUCCAAAGCAUUGCAUUGUAAAGGGGCUGGGAAUUUUUCUCUCAAACACAAAGUGUCGGAAGAAGAUAACAAGCUUGGAGUAGGAAUGCCCUUCCCUGGAAUAAGUCCAGAAGCCCUAAAUGAUCCAGACCUUUAUGCGGUGGAGAAGGAGCUGUACCUGGGUUCUUUAUGCCAAGUUGCAGGCAGACCCAAACCAUGGCAAUUUUGGAUGAUUAUGUUGAAAAAUGGUAACUACGAUACAAGGUCUGGGUUGUGUCCCGAAAAUGGGAAAAAGGUACCUCCAUUCCCUCCUGGAAGAUUCCCUUGUUUUGGAAAGGGGUGUAUGAAUCAACCCCUAUUGUUUCAUCAACCCACAAGCUUAUCCAGUGAUGGUACAAUGAGAGGUGGUUUUAACGGUACCUAUGAUUUGGCUUCUGGCAUUAAAUGUGGGAUCCACAACAUUUCUUACUUUGAGGUGGUUUGGCACAAGAAAGUUGGUGCGGGCAGUUGGGCUUUUAGUCAUAAACUCAAGACCUCAAAAUUGUACCCGUGGCUGAUGUUGUACCUUAGAGCUGAUGCGACCAAGGGUUUCUCUGGAGGCUACCACUAUGACACCAGAGGAAUGCUCAAAAUUCUUCCCGAGUCACCUAAUUUCAAGGUCAGAAUGACUUUAGAUGUGAAGCAAGGAGGUGGACCUAAGAGCCAGUUCUACCUAAUAGAUAUUGGUAGCUGCUGGAAGAACAAUGGUAAACCCUGUGAUGGAAAUGUGCUCACUGAUGUAACCAGGUACAGUGAGAUGAUCAUCAACCCUGAAACUCCAGCUACGUGCAGCCCUUCGGUUCUGGGCAAGUGUCCGCCAUUCCACAUUACGCCCAACAACACAAAAAUUUACAGGAACGAUACUGCAAAUUUCCCUUACGCUGCUUAUCACUAUUACUGUGCUCCCGGGAAUGCCAAAUACUUGGAGGAACCAUACAGAAUUUGUGAUCCUUACAGCAAUCCUCAGGCACAGGAGCUGGUUCAGUUGUUGCCUCAUCCAAUAUGGGCCGAAUAUGGGUAUCCCACGAAAAAGGGAGACGGUUGGGUUGGGGAUGCUAGAACUUGGGAGCUUGAUGUUGGCGGCCUUUCUAGUAGACUCUACUUCUAUCAGGAUCCAGGGACCAAACCCGCAAAAAGAAGAUGGACAUCGCUAGAUGUGGGAACUGAGAUAUAUGUUAGUAACAAAGUUGAGGAGGCUGAAUGGGUGCUGAGUGAUUUCGACGUUAUUCUGACUCCACCAACCACAUAAAAUUCAAUUCAAACACACGCUGAUGAUGAUUUAACAACGUUGUUUAGGAGCUGCUGGGCCACUUUGACUUGAAGGAGUUUUAGGUAGAAGCCAAUCAGGCCCCAAAGAACAAGUACUGUUCAUCAGGCAUCCGUAAGUGUAUGUUGAGAGAAGUACAUGUUGGUGUCUACUGUUUCCUUUUCUUGUAUGGCCCAACGCUCUGUUUCAAUGGGGCAAAAUUGAGAGAUUGGUGUGGACUGGCGGUGCAGAUUCUGGCAAUGUAUUGGCGCUGGUGGGCAGGCAUUUACAUAGCAACUGAACUGGAUGGAAAUUGUGUACUUGAGGUCCAGCCGCAAUGGAUGGCUUUUAAGAGUAGUACUGCUAUUUAUUUUAUUUAGACAGAAGAUUAG